rnacentral:rRNA from 1 species
GACGAACGCUGGCGGCGUGCUUAACACAUGCAAGUCGAACGGAAAGGCCCUGCUUGCAGGGUGCUCGAGUGGCGAACGGGUGAGUAACACGUGGGUGAUCUGCCCCUUACUUUGGGAUAAGCCUGGGAAACUGGGUCUAAUACUGGAUAGGACCAUGCUGUAGGUGGUGUGGUGGAAAGAUUAGUUUCGGUAAGGGAUGAGCUCGCGGCCUAUCAGCUUGUUGGUGGGGUAAUGGCCUACCAAGGCGUCGACGGGUAGCCGGCCUGAGAGGGUGGACGGCCACAUUGGGACUGAGAUACGGCCCAGACUCCUACGGGAGGCAGCAGUGGGGAAUAUUGCACAAUGGGCGCAAGCCUGAUGCAGCGACGCCGCGUGGGGGAUGACGGCCUUCGGGUUGUAAACUCCUUUCAGCCAUGACGAAACCCUUGUGGUGACGGUAGUGGUAGAAGAAGCACCGGCUAACUACGUG